GACGAACGCUGGCGGCGUGCUUAACACAUGCAAGUCGAACGAAGUGGCGAACGGGUGAGUAAUACGUGAGUAACCUGCCCUUCAGAGGGGGACAACAGUUGGAAACGACUGCUAAUACCGCAUACUGAAGGAGGGGAUUGCGUCUGAUUAGCUAGUUGGGGGGGUAACGGCCCACCAAGGCGAUGAUCAGUAGCCGGGCUGAGAGGAUGAACGGCCACAUUGGGACUGAGACACGGCCCAGACUCCUACGGGAGGCAGCAGUGGGGGAUAUUGCACAAUGGGCGAAAGCCUGAUGCAGCGACACCGCGUGGGGGAUGAAGGCUUUCGGGUUGUAAACCUCUUUCGCUAUCGAACGGGUAGGUGGAGAAGAAGCGCCGGCUAACUACGUGCCAGCCGCCGCGGUAAUUC
rnacentral:rRNA from 1 species